GCCCUUAGAGUUUGAUCCUGGCUCAGGAUGAACGCUGGCGGCGUGCCUAAUACAUGCAAGUCGAGCGAGAAGUCAAGAAAUGAAGCUUCGGCAGAUUUUCUUGAUGGAAAGCGGCGGACGGGUGAGUAACGCGUAGGCAACCUGCCCUUAGCAGAGGGAUAGCCAUUGGAAACGAUGAUUAAAACCUCAUAACAUCGUAGUAACACAUGUUACAUCGGUCAAAGAUUUAUCGGCUAAGGAUGGGCCUGCGUCUGAUUAACUAGUUGGUGAGGUAACGGCUCACCAAGGUGACGAUCAGUAGCCGACCUGAGAGGGUGAUCGGCCACAUUGGAACUGAGACACGGUCCAAACUUCUACGGAAGGCAGCAGUAAGGAAUCUUGCACAAUGGGGGAAACCCUGAUGCAGCAACGCCGCGUGAACGAUGAAGGCCUUCGGGUUGUAAAGUUCUGAUCUGAGGGAAGAAACAAAUGACGGUACCUCAGGAGAAAGCCCCGGCUAACUACGUGCCAGCAGCCGCGGUAAUACGUAGGGGGCGAGCGUUGUCCGGAAUUACUGGGCGUAAAGCGCACGCAGGCGGAUCGUUAAGUCUGACGUCAAAGGCUGCGGCUCAACUGCAGUUCUACGUUAGAUACUGGCGGUCUAGAGUAUGUGAGAGGGAAGUGGAAUUCCAGGUGUAGGGGUGAAAUCUGUAGAUAUCUGGAAGAAUACCAAUGGCGAAGGCAGGUUACCAGCAGAUGACUGACGCUGAGGUGCGAAGGUGCGGGGAGCAAACAGGAUUAGAUACCCUGGUAGUCCGCACAGUCAACGAUGUACACUAGAUGUCUGCACAUAAGUGUGGGUGUCGGAGCAAACGCGAUAAGUGUACCGCCUGGGGAGUAUGCCCGCAAGGGUGAAACUCAAAGGAAUUGACGGGGGCCCGCACAAGCGGAGGAACAUGUGGUUUAAUUCGAUGAUACGCGAGGAACCUUACCCGGGCUUGAAAGUUAGUGACGAUCGCUGAAAGGCGAUUUCCCUUCGGGGCACGAAACUAGGUGCUGCAUGGUUGUCGUCAGCUCGUGCCGUGAGGUGUCGGCUUAAGUGCCUUAACGAGCGCAACCCCUGUUGUUAGUUGCCAUCAGGUAAUGCUGGGAACUCUAACAAGACUGCUACUGUAAGGUAGAGGAGGGUGGGGAUGACGUCAAAUCAGCACGGCCCUUACGUCCGGGGCGACACACGUGUUACAAUGGGGGGUACAGAGGGUUGCUACCACGCGAGUGGAUGCUAAUCUCAUAAAACCUCUCUCAGUUCGGAUCGGAGUCUGCAACUCGACUCCGUGAAGCUGGAUUCGCUAGUAAUCGCGCAUCAGCCAUGGCGCGGUGAAUACGUUCCCGGGCCUUGUACACACCGCCCGUCA
rnacentral:rRNA from 1 species